UUCUUCUUUUCUCUACUGUUAUUUUUUCUCAUUUUGUUUUGCAAUCUGUACGUUUCUCUGCUUAAUCUUUCUGCUUUUCUUCUUUUUAUUUUCUCUUCCUUUUCGCUUAGUUUUCAAAGAAAUCCCAAAUAUGUUAUUUAUUUGUUUCUCCUAUUUUCGGCCUUAGCUUUUGAGUUCGUGUCAAAGUUUUCCUUCUUGAUUCCAGUUUGUCCGGUGUCUUCUAUGAUUUUUUAUUUCUAGUGAUUUUUAUUCCGAUUUUUUCUUUCUCAAUUUGGUUGAGUAUCUAAAGGUUUGUGCAUGCAUAUCAAAUUGUCAAUUAUUGCUAUGUUUUUGGAGGAUGAAUAGGUUUUGAAAUGCCUAUUAAGGAUGAAAUUGGUAGACAUGGAUAAGAUCAUUCUCUGCUUCAUAGAGGAGGGGGUUCCCAGCUAACAAGGAAGCGGGAAGAAAAAUGCAAAAUCUAUUUAGCAAAUAAAGAAACCAGAAGACUUACAUCGUCGGAUGGUGAGAUUUUAAACUCUGAAAACUAAUGAACUCAAGGUGUUCAGCGAUAUGCCUGAAACGACACAAAACUAUUUGGUAAGAAUUUCUUUUGAUCUCCUUUAUAUUAUCGAGUAAAAUAGGACUAACUUCAACUAUGCAAAAUUUUAUAUUUCUUUGAAUUGGGGAAAUUUUUCAUAUAAGUUAUACAAAUAUAGAAGGCUAAAAGGCAAUAGUAGCUUUUUGCAUUUUACUUGUUAUUUCAGUUAGAUGUGUCGCUAUUGGUAAUUGGCCAUGGUAGUAAAGUUGAGAUGGUCAAAAAGCUAUCACUGAUGAUUCUUUUUUCGUCUACCUAAUUUUUUAUUGGCCAGGUAUAGGUGUACAAGUAGUAAUGUGAAAAUAAAUUCUACUAUUCAAAAGACUUCUCUAUGCAAGUAAGGUUACAGAAAGAUAAAACUAAAUCGCUGAACUUCUAGCUUCAGGCGAUGAUGAAUAUUUUGAAGCUCUGGCAAUGAUGUUGAUGUCGGUGAGAAACAGAAUGAAAAAAUGCCGGUGAAAUAUCAAUAUGUUGUAUUUAAACCUUUCAAUAGUGAGAUCUUGGAUGCAGUAUUUACCAUAAUUCACAAGCAAGAACUGGCACUAAAAGGAACUCAAUGAAAAUAAAGAUAGGCUAUAUGAACGAAAUCCUCAAAGGGUUGAAGCUUAUGGAAAAAGAGCUUGAAACCUCAGUAGCUUUUGGCCGAGUUUGAAGCGAUUCACCAAGAUGAAAAAAAGUUCAACGAUCAUGCAUUUGAAGAAUUCCUGAAAUUUACUUGGGUAACUUUGCUAAAUGUCACAGUUAUGAGCUAAACCCCACCAUUAGGGAAAAAGGAGUGACUUGAAGGUGCUAAAAGAAGCUCUUGACAUAAAUUGGUCAAAAUACAUUCAGAUCAAGAAGAAAAGUAACUGAGACCAAAUUACUUCUCAACUAAGGCGGGAUGGUGUAACCUAUUUCACUGAAACUUGUACCAAUAGAAGUUUCCACCACCAGAUCAUUCCUUAAGGAAGACACUAGGGUACUGCGGGCGUUGUGGUAUUCCCAAGGGGAUGCUAACACUUUAUGCACUCUCCAACAAGAACGAAUCUAAAAUCUUGGAAUUGGACAUGCGGCUGGUUUUGAUACUUUCAUCAAAUAUUAUUGCAAAAAGAAGACUUAUAGCAAUGAAGGUCAAUUGAGUGAUUGACUUUUGCCAGAAGUGCAGUUUCUUUUGUACAGUUGCCCUUGCAUAUUUCAUAUCGUGUAUAACAUAGUUACUGAAAUGAAUGUACAUCAUUUGAAGCUAUUGUGUAAAUAUCUAAUCAACAUAAUCAUAAGUUUCCUUUAUAUGUAAAUGGUAAUUAUGCUAAACAAUUGAAAUAAGUAUGAACCUUUUUGGUACAACAAUGCCGAGGUACAAUAAUAUCGGCUUAUAUCCGUGCACAACACGGGCACCAGCCAUCUAGUUUAUAUAGUAGAGGGCCCUAAGGCCGGUGACGUGGGGCUCCCAUUCAACAGCAAAUCCCUUUUCUUGCCUCCACGCUUAUUUGGCGUUUUAAUUAAAAGAGAUACUACCCGCGAAUAACAAAAAAAAAAACCCACAAUAUACAAACCCCUUCAGAUGCAACCGCUUCACACCGAUUCUCUACUCUCUAUUUUCUCACUUUUUAUCUACUCCUCCAUCUCUUUUGUACCCUUCUCUCCAUUCUUUUUUUUACGCCCAUGAACUGUUUGAAAAAAUGCCGUACUGGCACCUGGAAUCUGCAACUAGUUUUGUUCGAUCAAUAGAUACCGCAAAGGAGAACCUGAAAAGGAACUGCAAGAGCAAAAAGGCACAAUUCGGUUUCACCAUGGCUCCUUUAAUAAAUUUGGAAAAGAUUUGAUCAUAAAUUGGAAGAGAAUCAUUUUUCUGGGUAAUUGGACCAAAACAUCAACCAUAUUAUCAUCAUUAGUUGCUCUGCACAGAUUAGGGGCAUAUACACACGAGAUGAAUGAAGAGGAUCACAAAAAAUCUGAAGUGGUUUUGAGUAUCUCUUCCAUACAUUAAUUGUCAUUAGGCUGCAGGACCUUUUCGGGAGGCACAUACCUCCAAAAUUGAGGUUUACCAAGCAAAAUGCAAAGAAUGGCAAAUUUAAUUUGGAGGAGUUCGAUGAAUGACUAUUAAGUCAUAUUUUAACUAGAAGUUGAAAGUCAUGCUGAAUGCAACAAUGGAAUUACAAGAUCAACAGUCAAAGAAUUGGCUUGUAUUGGGAAGCAGUGUUACAUGCUUUUAUCCUACUUGCUUGGUUAAAUAUGUUUGAAGCACACAUUACUUUGAUAUUAGUAAUGAAGACUACGGAUUACUACAAGACUAAUAUCAUAUAGAAGGUUUCGGGAUGAAACAGAAGGAAAUCAAGAAGAUUUAUUCUGCUGGAAAAUGAGCAUUUUAUUUUCUUUCUGCACCUUGAAAACUGAAGGCUGUCUUGUGAACAUCUGGAAUGAGCUAUAGCUGGAAAGUAUUUAAUUCUACAUUUAAUUUCUUACAUCUCAUUCUCAGUGUUCUUUUGACAUUCAUUUACAGUCCUCUACAUUUGCUUUUAUUAAGUUCUGCAGGUACAAAUUUGUUUUUGAAUAUAGUGUAUCUCUUCUUUUUGUUCUUUCUAGAUUUUAAAUUAUAGGAGUGUUCAUGUAUUCAUUUACAAACAAUAUUUCUUUAUAAAAAUUUACAUAGAAUCAAUGCA